rnacentral:rRNA from 1 species
CGUGCCUCAGACAUGCAAGUCGAACGAUUAAAGCUCUCUUCGGAGAGUGUAUAGAGUGGCGCACGGGUGAGUAACACGUAAGUAAUCUACCUUUGAGUGGGGAAUAACACCGAGAAAUCGGUGCUAAUACCGCAUAAUGCAGCGGCAUCGCAAGAUGACAGUUGUUAAAGAUUUAUCGCUUGAAGAGGAGCUUGCGGCAGAUUAGCUAGUUGGUAAGGUAAUGGCUUACCAAGGCUACGAUCUGUAACCGGUCUAAGAGGACGGUCGGUCACACUGACACUGAAUAACGGGUCAGACUCCUACGGGAGGCAGCAGUCGGGAAUUUUGGGCAAUGGGCGAAAGCCUGACCCAGCAACGCCGCGUGAAGGAUGAAGUAUUUCGGUAUGUAAACUUCGAAAGAAUGGGAAGAAUAAAUGACGGUACCAUUUAUAAGGUCCGGCUAACUA